AGAUNUGAAGGUAAAUAGAUAUGUUAAUUUUAUGGAUUGCCAGUGUUGUUUUGGGUGAUAUGGCUAGUUAGGUGAUAUCCCCUUCCUCCAUAACCAGUCCCUGUAUAACUUUCUGGAAGUUGCACNCUUAGCAGAUGAGACUAUUUUCUNAAUAGAAAAGGUCCAACCCCUGGUCAAGGAUAUAUGAAUAGCUGUGCUCCCUGGCUGGAACCUCCAAGCAGGCUGUCAAGAUGGGCACAUGUUAUUUUCAUUCUGCUUAUUUCCAUGUCUAGCCACUAUCUAACAACAUCUUCACCCUCUUCUCCAAUAAAUGAGUGUGU
rnacentral:snRNA from 1 species